rnacentral:rRNA from 1 species
UACGUAGGCAGCAAGCGUUGUUCGGAAUUAUUGGGCGUAAAGGGCGCGUAGGCGGCCUGGCAAGUGGAAGGUGAAAUCCCUCGGCUUAACCGAGGAACUGCCCUCCAAACUGCUUGGCUUGAGUCCGGGAGAGGUGAGUGGAAUUCCCAGUGUAGCGGUGAAAUGCGUAGAUAUUGGGAGGAACACCAGUGGCGAAGGCGGCUCACUGGACCGGAACUGACGCUGAGGCGCGAAAGCGUGGGGAGCAAACGGG